rnacentral:rRNA from 1 species
AUUGAACGCUGGCGGCAUGCCUUACACAUGCAAGUCGAACGGUAACGGGCCUUCGGGUGCCGGCGAGUGGCGAACGGGUGAGUAAUAUAUCGGAACGUACCUUUCAGUGGGGGAUAACGUAGCGAAAGUUACGCUAAUACCGCAUAUUCUGUGAGCAGGAAAGCAGGGGAUCGCAAGACCUUGCGCUGAUUGAGCGGCCGAUAUCAGAUUGGCUAGUUGGUGAGGUAAAGGCUCACCAAGGCGACGAUCUGUAGCGGGUCUGAGAGGAUGAUCCGCCACACUGGAACUGAGACACGGUCCAGACUCCUACGGGAGGCAGCAGUGGGGAAUUUUGGACAAUGGGCGCAAGCCUGAUCCAGCCAUGCCGCGUGAGUGAAGAAGG